CAAAGCUGAUCGUAGCCCUCGUCGCGAUUGCUCCCUUGGCCGAGACGAAGGAGUAUACUGAGCACACCAAGUGGAAGUUUGUCACUCUCGAUGCCACCGAGGGAAGGAAGCUUGGCA
rnacentral:rRNA from 1 species